GGCUCCGUGGUCUAGUGGUAAGAUACCUGCUUUGGGAAUCCAUAUUUGCAGGUGACCCCGGGUUCGAACCCCGGCGGAGCCC